rnacentral:misc_RNA from 1 species
GUGAAUCAUCAAAUUUUUGAACGCAAAUUGCACUCUUUGGUAUUCCGGAGAGUAUGCCUGUUUGAGGGUCAGUUUAAAUAAAAAUCGCUUUGCUUCCUGCCUUUCUUGGUGACGCACCGGAUGAGGGUCGUCGUGGCUUCGGUUAAGUGAUCUAAAAUUUUGCAUGAUUUUUUCGAACGUAUUUAAGUGUUUUUACGUUCGUUUGCGAUAACGAAUACUAG